GAUGGGAAUGAAGUUCUCCCCUGGCAUAAGCCUUAACCGCUUUUUUAAGCUGUUGCUUUUUUAAGCUGAUGACUUCUGCAA
rnacentral:ncRNA from 1 species